AAAGAGAGGGAAAGUGAGAAAGAGAGAGAGAGGAGAGAGGGAGGAAGGCGAGAGCCGCUGGAGGCCAGCAGUGGCCCGCUGCGGCCACCAGAGGGCCGCGAAAGCAUCCACGGCUCGUUGGUUCACCCGAUAGGACUUUGAAACGAGCGAGAGAGAGAGAGAGAAAAGGAAAGAGAUCACUGGAGAUGGGAGUGGGAGGCAUCACGGUCGCGGAUGCAGGCUUUACCGAGACCGGGGGAGGGAGGUGGUGGAAACGACACAGGCGGCAUCGCGAUCGCGGAAUAUGGUCUGUCGUCCCUGUUCACGCAGUCCUCUUUUUUAAAAACAAAGAUCAACAGUGAAGAUGGCAAACCAUUUGCCGGCUUCACUGUUUAAAAAAUUUUUUUAAAAAAAAUUAAAAUCAAUGAAGCCAGCAAACCAUUUGCCGGCUUCACUUAAAUUUUGAUUGUAAAAAAAAAAUCGUGAAACAGGGGCGUCACCCUUGUUUCACGCCCGCGGCACCGCGUGCGCGGACUGCGCUAUCCAACGGUCACAGCGGCUAGCCAGAGGCCAUCCAGCGACCCCGCCCCCUCCUUCCCGUCCCUCCUUUUCUUUCUUCCUCCCCCUCUCUAUUUCUCUCUUUUUCUUCCCCUGAUUCAGAUCCGAUGCCUUCAUCAGUUUGCUGCCGAUUCGGUUCGAUACGAAACCAUACCGAACCGUACCGCCGACCGACCGAAACGGCCAUCGGUACCGAGACGGCGAACCUUGCUUGCAAAUAGUAUUUUUCGAAAAAUAUGCAACAAAUCAUAUUGACAAGGCAUAUAUGCAAAAAAAAAAACAAAAAAUAAAGGUCAAAAAACAUUAUAAUUGGAAAAGAAAGCUCAUUUCAAACUAAUUUUUUAAAUUUUAAAACUUAAAUUUUAGAAGUGUAAAUUACAAAAACUGCUUUUUGAUUUGAAUCAUGGAAAGAGUAAAUUUUACAACCACAAAACAUUUUUUUAUAGCAUAAAAUUUUUGAAUUUUGAAACACAUUAUUUCAAAAGAAGAGUUGAGCUGUAAAAAAGAAUCAUGCUUUAAUUUUCAAAACAAAAAAUGAAGGUUAGAAAACUUUAUGGUUUGCGAACUCUUUUGAAAUUUAAACCAUUUUUUAAUAUUGGAACAUUUUAUAAGUCGAGUUUAGUUGUUGAACAUCCAUAAACCACAAAAAGUGCUAUUUUAUGAAUAUGCCUAACAUAAAUUUUUAUAACUAAGCAUUUUCUGAUUUUGAAAAUUGUGUUCCCGAUAGGACCUUAUAUGUUAAAAUGAGAAUGUUCCAACAUCACAAAAAUAUAUUUCUUUUGGUCAGCAUAAAAGCAUUGUAUCACCAACUUUUGAUAUAUAUGCAAAAACAACACAAAAAUAAAGGCCAAAAAACUUUAUAAUUGGAGAAGCUCAUUUCAAACAAAUUUUUUUAAUUUUAAAACUAAAUUUUCAAAAGUGUAAACUAAAAAAAAUUACAAAAUCAACAUUUCGAUUCGAAUCAAGGCAUAAGUAAAUUUUAUGACCACAAACAUUUUUUUAUGAGUAUAAAAUUUCUAAAUUUCAAAACAUGUUAUUUCAAAAGAAGAGUUUAGUUAUUAAAAAGAAUAAUGCUUUAAUUUUCAAAACAAAAUAUGAAUGUUAGAAAACUUCUAUGGUUUAAAAACUUCUUUUGAAAUUUUAAACCUUUUUGAACUUCGAAACUUUUCGUAAGUCUAGUUGUUGAACAUGCAUAAACAACCAAAAAGGCUAUUCUACGACUAUGGCCAAUAUAAUUUUUUUAUAACUAGGAAAGCAUUUUCUGAGUUUGAAAAUUGUGUUUUUAAGAGGACCUGAUAUGUCAAAAUGAGAAUUUUCCUACAUCACAAAAACAAACUUCUUCUAGUCAGCAUAAAAACAUUUUUUCAACAAUUUCCAAAUUUUAGUCUAGUUUUCAAAAGAAGAAUGUUCAUCAAUUUAAAAACAAUUGCUGAUCCAAAAUCAUGACAUGGAAAAGCUUUGUGAUUCCAGAAGAGAAGCAUGUUAAAACGAGAACAUUCCAAAACAACAAAACCUCAUUUUUGAAAUAAAAAUCGGAUGAGAAAUCUUGCUGAUUGAAAUGUCCGAUUUCAAAAUGGAGUUAGUUUGCAAAAGGAGUGUUUCCAAAUUACAAAAACACCUUUUCCAUACAAAUCAUAGCAUGACACCUAUGAGUGUGAAAACUUCUUUCGAACUUAAAAUUUUUAAAUAUCAAAACAUGGCAAACGUGUGAGUGAGAGUUUGGUUGUUCAAAGGAGAAUGCUCCAAUUUGCAUGAGCAAAUUUUAUGACCACAAAACAUUUUUUUUCGAAUCUAAAAUUUCUAAAUUUCAAAACAUGCUAUUUCAAAAGAAGAGUUGAGUUAUCAAAAAAAUAAUGCUUUAAUUUUCAAAACAAAAAAUGAAGGUUAGAAAACUUUAUGGUUUGAAAACCUUUUUAGAAAUUUUAAACCUUUUUGAAUUUCGAAACAUUCUAUAAACCAAGUUUUGUUGUUGAACAUCCAUAAACUACAAAAGGUGCUAUUUUAUGAGUAUGGCCAAUAUAAGAUUUUUUUAUAAAUAGGAAAGAAUUUUCUGAUUUUAAAAAUUGUGUUUCCAAGAGGACCUUAUAUGUUAAAAUCAGAAUACUCCUGCAUCAUGAAAACAUGUUUCUUUUGGUCAGCAUAAAAACAUUGUUUCAACAACAUUGGGUACAUAUGCAAAAAAACCCAAAAAUAAAGCUCAAAAAACUUUAUAAUUGGAAAAUCUCAUUUCAAACGAAUGUUAUAAUUUUAAAACUAAUUUUUCAGAAGUGUAUAUUACCAAAAUUACAAAAACAACUUUUUCAUUCAAAUCAUGGCAUCAGUAAACUUUAUGACCAAAAAACUUUUUUUAAACAUAAAAUUUCUAAAUUUCAAAACAAGUUUAUUUCAAAAGAAUUCUUAAGUUGAGUUAUCAAAAAGAACAAUGCUUUAAUUUUCAAAAAAAAAUGAAGGCUAGAAAACUUUAUGGUUUGAAUUUUUUUUUUUGAAAUUUUAAACCUUUCUGAAUUUUGAAACAUUUUAUAAGUCAAGUUUAGUUGUUGAACAUCCAUAAACCACAGAAGGUGCUAUUUUAUGAAUAUGUGCAAUAUAAUUUUUUUAUAACUAGGAAAGCCUUUUCUGACUUUGAAAAUUGUGUUUUCAAGAGGACCUUAUAUGUUAAAAUGAGAAUGUUCCUGCAUCACAGAAAUAUAUUGCUUUUGAUCAGCAUAAAAACAUUGUUUCACCAAGUUUUCGUAUAUAUGCAAUAAAAACCCAAAAAUAAAGGUCAAAAAACUUUAUAAUUGGAAAAGCUCAUUUCAAACAUUUUUUGUAAUUUUAAAACUAAUUUUUCAGAAGUGUAAAUUAAAAAGUUACAAAAACAACUUUUUGAUUCGAAUCAUGGCAUGAGCAAAUUUUAUGACCACAAAAUAAUUAUGUUUUGAACAUAAAACUUCUAGAUUUCAAAACAUGUUAUUUCAAAAAAAAGAGUUUAGUUAUUAAAAAGAAUAAUGCUUUAAUUUUCAAAACAAAUAAUGAAUGUUAGACAACUUUAUGGUUUGAAAACUUCUUUGGAAAUUUUAAACCUUUUUGAACUCUGAAACUUUUCAUAAGUCUAGUUGUUAAACAUCCAUGAACCACAAAAGAUGCAAUUCUAUGAUUAUGGCAAAUAUAAAUUUUUUAUAACUAGGAAAGCAUUUUCUGAGUUUGAAAAUUGUGUUUCCAAGAGGACCUUAUAUGUCAAAAUAAGAAUGUUCUUACAUCACAAAAACAUAUUUCUUUUAGUCUGCAUUAAAACAUUUUUUCAACAAUUUUAAAAGUUGUGUAUAGUUUUCGAAAGAAGAGUGUCCAUAAAUUUUAAACAAAUGUUUGUUGACAUAAAAUCAUGAUACGGAAAAGCUUUGUGAUUCCAGAGAAGAGCUUGUUAAAAUGAGAACAUUUCAAAAGAACAACACCUCAUUUUUGAAAUAAAAAUGCAAUGAGAAACCUUAGUGAUUGAAAUGUCCAAUUUCAAAAUGGAGUUAGUUUGCAAAAGGAUCAUUUCCAAAUUACAAAAACACGUAUUCCAUGCCAAUCAUAACAUGACACCCAUGAGUGAAAAAACUUCUUUUGUACUGAAAAUUUUUAAAUAUCAAAACAUGACAAACCUAUAAGUGAGAGUUUGGUUGUUAAAAGGAGAAUGCUCCAAUUAUUUCAAUGAAAAACGAAGGUAACAAAACUUUUUCUAUUUAGAAACUUGAUUCAAAGAAAAUUUUUGAAUCUUAAUACAUAUGAAUCCAAAAAGUACACCUUCAUUGUUCAAAGAACGUUUUAAAAACUACAGAAUGUCUUUUUCAGAAACUUGGUCGAUGCAAGGUAACAUCUAUAAUUAUGAUACUAUUUUCAAAACUCAACAUUUUUUAAUUUUGCAAAUUUGAAUACCAAAAAUGAAUUUUAUUUGUUAAAAUGAGAAUAUUCCUAUUUUGAAUAUCCCAGCCCAACACUGUUAUGAAAUAUAGAUUUUAAAAGGAGAAUGUUCACACAUUACAAAAACACAUUUUGAUAUAAAAUCCUAACAAGGGAAAACCUAAUGAUUACAAAACCUUCUUUUGAAAUUGAAAAUUUUAGAAUACUAGAACAAGCAAUUUGAAAAUAGGUGUUUAGUUGUUAAAAAGAUGAAACAGAAAAAUAAUGGUUAAAUAGCUUCAUUAUUACCAAAAAUUCCUUUGAACCUACACUACUUAAAUUCCAGGGUUCCAAUAUUGUUCAUGUGGUUUCCUAGCUAAAACAAUACAUGAGUGCCUUUCUAAAAUAUCUUUUUAAUGUGAAAAAAAAUUGUAACAAUAAUGCACCAUUAGGCAAAAAUCUGAUGAGGGACUUCCCUGCAAAACAGGAAUUUGUGAAGUACACAUGCAAACAGUGAUUUUUGAAAAGUAUGCAACAAAUCAUAUUGAUAGGGUAUAUAUGCAAAGAAAAAAACCAAAAAUAAAGGUCAAAAAACUUUAUAAUUGGAAAACCUCAUUUCAAACUAAAACUGUUUUAAUUUUAAAACUUAUUUUUCAGAAGUGUAAAACAGUUGUUGAGAUGAGAAUAUUAAUAAACCAUAAAAGAUCCAUAUUUUCAUAAAAUUUUGUCAAUCUAAGUAAAUCUUUAUAACCACAAAACCAUUUUCAAAACUUCAAAAUGUUCCAAAAUCAAAAGUUUUUCCAAACUUCGCAAAAUAUAAUUUCAAAGAAGAUUAUUUGUUCAAAUGAUAAUGUUCCAAAUUGACAAAAAUAAUUUUUACAAGAAAAUUUGUAAUUGUAAACCCUUCUUUUGGACUAAGUUUCAAAUUUUGAAACAUGAAAAUUCAAAGGUGGAGUUAAUUUUAAAAGAAAAUGUCCAAAAAUUAUGAAAACAACUUUUUGAUUCGAAUCAUGGCAGGAGUAAAUUUUAUGACCACAAAAAAAAAUUUUAAGCAAUAAAAUUUCUAAAUUUCAUGACAUAUAUUCUAUUAUAUAUAUAUAAAACCGGAGCAACCGCGUUAAGGCAUCUCCAUUCGACACGUGGUUAAACAGUUGCAUGACACAUCACUAAAAAAAAAAAGGCUCGGUCUUGCGUCCGCUUUUCUCCCCGAACGAUGAAGAGAGGGCCGGCCCCUCAACUCCCCACUACCAUGACUACUCCGACGAUGCCGUUCACGUUCCCGAAUCAUGCCCUCACAACUCUCUUGUGCGCUGUCAAAACACCACGCGGAAGAGGAGAAAGAAAAGACCUAACGCUAGAUUCAGCAAGAAGGGGACGAGUGAAGAAACCUUGAGCCUCACCCCAGGAGUUGGAGAAAUUUACAAUUUUUCCCUCUAAGUUUCUUCUCCCCUCCCUCCUCUAUCCAGCGAGCCCUCCAGAGAAAAAAACCCUCACAACGAGUUCGUGAUGCGCUUUCGUUUGUUUUCCUGCUCUCCCUCUCUCCUCCCCCUCCUGCUCUCUCUCUCCUGUCUCCCCUCUCUCCGCCAACCCCGGCCUUUUAUUUCUUUUUCAUUUUAAUUUGAGUUUUUAUUUUUGAUUUAUUUAAGUUUUGGUUGGGUUCGAUGGCUCGGGGUGAGGUGUUGGGUUUGAGCCUGGCAACUGUUGGGCGGAGACGAACCGGGUCCGCACGGGCUAGGGGUGGGACGCCUUUGUUUUAUUUUGGGCGGCGGAGCAAAUGGGAACCGUUGAAUCAGAUGUCGCAGAUUGAUGACAUGGACCAUUUGGACGGUAGAUGUGGGUUUGAGUGCGUUGUGUUUCUUUUGUGAGAGAGAGAAAAAGAAGCGCGUUAGCGGGGAUUUUUUUUUCUUUCUUUCUUUUUUUCUGAGUUGUGGUGGGAGACUUGGGAAAGUAGAUAAUAUCAGUGGAGAAAGCGUGAGCUCCUCUCCAUCGACAACAUAAAAUCAACGAUUAAUGGGUGCAUGUCUCCUCCCACCAGCAAAUGGAUGGGUGGUCACAAAGCUGUUAAGUGGAAAGACUUUAACAAAAUGGUUGCACGGACAUAAGGAGAGGCAAAGAGAAAGGUCAAUACCUCUUCCCCCUUUGAAAGAAAGGUUAAAGAAGGCGUUGGAAGUUGCUCAGGCAGUGCAAUAUCUUCAUGAACAAAAACCCAUGGUCAUCCACAGAGAUUUGAAGCCAAGUAACGUACUCCUGGAUGAUUGUUCGCAUGUUCGGGUGGCUGACUUUGGGCAUGCUCGGUUCCUACCUGAGGGAGAGGUAGCACUGGCAGGUGAAAUAGGUAAAGGAAGGAGAUGGGCCUAACAGGUUCGGAUUUUGGGUCCCAAUCCGAUCUGAAAUCCGGCUGGAUCCAUUUAUUUAAACAAAAAAUCUUGCAUUUAGGCCCUUGAUAAAGGCUAUAUUCAAUUAAGCUCUUUUGACAAUUGACUGAACCAGACCAUGUUAAGUUAAUUUAGUUUAGGGGUGUUUUGCAAUUAAACUUUGACAAAAUAUUUAUUAUAUAAAGGCCCUUUUCUACUGGAUCUCCACAUUUUUGGCUUUGAACCCAAGGGCAAAAAAAAUAUUAAUUGGGAUAGUCCCCAUGGGUCAACUACUACAAUCAUGCAUAUAAAUACAAAUACAAUAUGACUACUGCCUGCCUCCUACUUCUACUUAACCAUCUAUUCUUAAAUGCAUACAAAACGGACACAAACUACUGAUCUCAAAUAUGUAUAGAUCAUCAUUGUCUCUUAGUCAUUCUGGAUAAAAUUUUGAGCUAUUGGGACUAAAAAGUUAUUAACAAUUCAACUAUCAGAAAAUUUGUCUCUACCUUUUCUCUGGAGUAAGUCUUUAAUGAUGCCGAAAAUUCAAUAAAAUAAAAAAUUAUAUAAUAAUAAUAUAUAUAUUAUUUUUUUUGAUAGACUAUGAAGAAAAGAGAUAUAUGUGGGAUGCAAAUAGGUGGUCAUGUUCUGCUUAAUGAUAAGGAUUCCGAAACAAUUGAUGCUGAAAAUGUUGAUUCAAGAAAUAAUUUCUUUAUCAGUAAAAGACAGAAAUGAUUAUAUUACUUCUUAUUAUUAUGUUAUUUAAAUAUUUUGAGUUUAUAUUUUAAUUUGAAAUAUUUGAUAUCAUUUAUGAUGUCUUUUAUAUUAUGUUGAAUUUUUAAUUUAUAAAAUUAUUAUUUGAAGAAAUAAAUACAUACCGUGAAUCGCAUGGGGUUCUAAGCUAGUAUAUAUAUUAAAACUGAGGCCUCUCUGUAGAGAAGCCUCCGUUUGAUGUGUGGGGUGUUGGGUAAAAAGAGAGGAUCCACGUGGACAAAGAAAGAGGAAAAAAAAGGUGCUCCGCGAACAGCACUCGGGACAACGCUCGCUCGACGCCCCGAACAGCGUCGCGCCCGCUCGAGGUCCGAUCGCCCAAACAGUGCUCCGCCGACAACGAAAGGAGCGCACUGUCGAAACAGCGCACAGUGCAGAAGCCUUGAUAGCCAAAAAAAAUCACGAAAGCAGCAAGGGCUCAACAGGAUGCUCUCGUAGUCAAAAAAAAAUUGCCUUUCAGAGGAGCUUCGGGAUGCAUUGAUGGGAGCCACGGCCACGACGGCCAUGGUGGUAAUGGUGGUGGCGAUGGGUGGAGCCACCGCGUGGGUUGAGGCUUUUGCUUGGAAGGGAGAGAAAGCAAGAGAGAAAGGGGAGUGGAGAGCGGAAGAAGAGCUUGGCGAAGCGGCCGAACAAGCCUCGAUGAAUGAUGCCAGCGACGGCGGCCCCAACAUCAUCCUACGGUGGCUACGGCUGAUGCUAUUGCCCCUCUCUGACAUCUUCAAAAGCGGAGUGGAGAAGCCGACGAUGCCUGCGAGGAGAGCUCGGGAAGGGCGCUGCUUUGAUCCAUGGGGCAGCGUAUCGUUGCUGCUUGGUCGGAUCGAGGCGGUGGAAACAAUUGCUAAGUUGUGGAUGGGAGAGCAGAGCCGUGCUUCCAUCUCUUUCUCUAUCGCUCUUCCUAUGGGCUAGGCUUCUCUUUUUCUUUUAGAGCAGUUUCUAGACCCGUUUUUGUUUAGUUUAGGAGGUGAGCCAAAAAUGGCUAACGCUAGAUAUUAUGACAGCUUCUCCACUCCAACGGCACCCCCAUCCCCCACCAUAUUUUUGUUUUAUGGCACAUUAGAUGUUAGUAUUUUUGCUUUCUCCUAUGGGAAAAAAAGAGAAUAUUGCAAUUUAGUGAACUAAAUAAAUAAACAUUAGGAUUAACUUUGACAUACAUGUGCUACCCAAUUAAGAUAACAUGCAGUACAAUUGAUAUUCUAUAUAUAAGAAAAAAUUUGCAUAUAAUAUUAGAUUCAUCGACGAUACGUGGGUAAACAUUACAUCUAGAAAAUUAUAGAUAUACAGAAGAUAUGCCCAAUAACAAUCAUUUGAUAGCAAUGUUAUAUAGUAAAAUAGAUAGUUCAACGAUGAAUAUUUAAAUAAACAGAUGAUAUUUCAAAUAAAAUUUUAAGAAAUGCUAUUUCACCUUUUAUCAUGUUAUUUAUUUGCACAUUAUUUAUGUUAAUAAAUAAUAUCUUUAAUUUUUUAAAUUUUAAAUAUUUCUUGCUACAUCUAAAAUCCAGCAACAAACAAUUACAAUAUUAGGCCAUCAAUUAGAGAUACGCUCACAAACCAAUUCUUGAUUGGAAUGUUACAAGACCGCUGUCUCUUCCUAUAAGAGAUGGGAAUAUGGUCGUCGAAGGUAUUUUUAUGAUCAAGUUUCGUAUAUUGAUAUAUUUUCUCUCCAUCUCAAGCUCGAAUAUGCUACUACCAUUAAUGACAAUGAUGGCCAAUGGGCAGCAUUGCCGAUGCUGCCAUUGGGAGAGUUGGAGGUGUGAGAUGAUAGGAUUAAAGGAAAAGAGGAAGGAGAGAUGGCAAGAUUUAAAAAUAAUUAAAGAUAAAAAUAAUAAGAAAUGAUGGGUUUAAGAAGCUUUAUAAAAUCAGGAUUGUCGCAUCUUCACAAAAUUUAUUCAAUAGCUUACAACACACACACCAUGCACAAAAUGCAAUUUUUUAAAUUAUUUUAAUUAUUUUAAAAAUAUAUAUAUAAUAGAUAUAAUAGAAUAGAUAAAUAAAAUUAAAUAUUAUUUUUAAAAAAUCACAUCCCAUGUAUUGCAUAGGGUUAUAAGCUAUUUUGUUAUAUUUUUCCCACGUAUCUAUUUUUCCCAAAGCCACCGUCCGCCACGUGUCUCAAGAUAGCGCCCUUUGUAUUUUUUGCUUCGAUUGGGAGGGAGGUGCUGAAGUUUGGAGGCCUUACGAUGGGGUCCGCGGCGACGAUGGAGGCGGCGUCGCAGAAGUGGACGUCGAUCUAGAGGAAGGUCGGCAGUGGGGCGGAUGGAAGAGAUGAGGAGGCUCCCAGAAUGGAAAAAGAAAGAAAAUACCCAACACAAAACCCCAACCAUUGUCUAAGCUUCACGGUUCGGCCGCUCCAAACCUACCACCCAAUUGGGACUCUAGAGGACAGACACAAUAGAGGAAAAACGAGUGAAAACAUAGGAAAAAACCCCAUCGUCUAAGCUUCCCUAUUCGCUUCUUUUCCUUUCAUUUUAUUAUCUUUUUUUUUUCAAAGAAAUGGGUUGAGAUUGGGAUAAUUAUAUAUAAUGCGUGCGUGGGCAAGGAUGAGGGCGGUGUCGGUGAGGAAGGGGUAGGAGAGGUGGUGGUGGUGGAGGCGGAGGCAAAGAGAUCGGGGUGGGGCAAGGUGGUAGUAGUGGUACGGCCAAGGCUUUCACCGCACGUGAGGUGGACAUAGGAUUUCAAUGAUGAAGAAGCCUCGAUGAACACUGCUAGCAACGAUGGUGGUGGUCGAGAGCACGAGAAGGAUGGCUGCGGCACAGGCAAGGGCCAGGGCGGCAUUGGCAAGGGAGGGGUAAGAGACAUGGUGGUGGUGGAGGCGGAGGGAUCAAGAAGGGAGGAGGUGGUAGUGGUGGUGUGGCCGAGGCUUUCGCCGCACGUGAGAUGGAUGCAAGGGUUUCAGCGGUCGCGGAUUGCCCUAUCACGAAAGUUCCGACUGCCCGAUUUCUCAUAGAAACAGUGAAGGCCCAAGGCACAUCCAGAAGAAAUUAUUGCAUGCACCAGGUGCAAAUGAAGUUGGCCAAAUCCCAAAGCAUAUGCACAGUGGAUAGUGCAUAUGCUUUAGGAUGUGAUUUUUUUAAAAAUAAUAUUUAAUUUUAUUUAUUUAUUUUAUUAUAUCUAUUUUAUUAUUUUAAGAAAAAAUAAUUACAUGCCUGCAUCACACGGGGUUCUAAGCUAGUGUUAUUUAAAAAGCAGAGCUUAGGUAUUGAAGAAUAAUGCUUUAACUUUCAAAACAAAAAAUGAAGGUUAAAAAGCUUUAUGGUUCGAAAACUUCUUUUGAAAGUUUAAACAUUUUUUAUUUUCAAAACUUUUCAUAAGUCAAUUUAGUUGUUGAAAUAAAAAUAUCCAUAAACCACAAAAGGUGCUAUUCCAUGAUUAUGGCCAAUAUAAACUUUUUAUAACUAGGAAAGCAUGUUCUGAGAAGGCCUUAUAUGUCAAACUGAGAAUGUUCCUACAUCAUAAAAACAUAUUUCUUUUGGUCAGCAUGAAAACAUUUUUUCAACAAUUUCAAAAGUUGAGUCUAGUUUUCAAAAGAAGAAUGUUCAUAAAUGAGAAAACAAAUGUUUAUUAAUACAAAAUCAUGACAUCGAAAAGCUUUGUGGUUCCAGAAGAGGAGCUUGUUAAAAUGAGAACAUUCCAAAACAACAAAACCUCAUUUUUUAAAUAAAAAUGGGAUGAGAACCCUUAAUGAUCGAAAUGUCCAAUUUCAAAAUGGAGUUAGGUUGCAAAAGGAGUGUUUCCAAAUUAAAAAAAACAUCUUUUCAAUACAAAUCAUAACAUGGCACCUAUAAGUGUGAAAACUUCUUUCGAACUUAAAAUUUUUAAAUAUCAAAACAUGACAAACCUAUCAGUGAGAGUUUGGUUGUUAAAACAAGAAUGCUCCAAUAUUUUUAAUAAAAAAUGAAGGUCAAAAAAACCUUUCCUUUUAGAAACUAGAUUCAAACAAAAUUUUUCAAUCUUAACACAUAGGAUUUCAAAAUGUAGACCUUUGUUGUUCAAAGAACAUUUUAAAAACUACAAAAUGUCUUUCUAACAAACUUGGUCCUUGCAUCAUCCAAAACUAUGAUACUAUUUUCAAAACUUCACUUUUUUUAAUUUUGCAAAUUAUAGUUCCAAAAAAGAAUUUUAGUUGUCAAAAUGAGAAUGUUUCCUAUUUUGAAUUUCCAUGCCCAAUAUCAGAAUUAUGAAAUUAAGCUCUUUAUUUUAAAAGGAGAAUGUUCACACAUUACAAAAACAUAUUCCAAUAUAAAAUCCUAACAUUGGAAAACCUAAUGAUUACAAAACCUUUUUUUGAACUUUUAAAAUUUUUGAAUAUUCGAACAAGAAAUUUGAAAACAGGUGAUUAGUUGUUAAAAGAUGAAACAGAAAAAUAAAGGUCCAAUAAGUUUAUUGUUACAAAAAAUUCUUUUGAACCUACACUACUUAAAUUAAAAAUUAUAUAUUAUAUAUGCAGUUUGCUAGCUAAAACUAUAAAUGAAUGCCUUCCUGAAAUAUCAUUUUAAUGUGAAAGGACAUUGUAACAAUAAUGCAUCAUUCAUCAAAAAUCUAAUGAGGGGAAUCCUUGCAAAACAAGAAUUUGUGAAGUAUACAUGCAAACUGUGACUUUUGAAAAGUAUGCAACAAAUCAUAUUGACAGGGUAUAUAUGCCAAAAAAAAACCAAAAAUAAAGGUCAAAACUUUAUAAUUGGAAAACCUCAUUUCAAGCUUAAACUUUUUUAAUUUUAAAACAUAUUUUUUCACAAGUAUAAAAUAAUUGUUGAGAUGAGAAUAUUAAUAAACCAUAAAAGAUCCAUAUUUUGAUAAAAUUUUAUCAAUGUGAGUAAAUCUUUAUAACCACAGAAUCGUUUUCCAACUUCAAAAUGUUCCCAACUCAAGGGUUUUUCCAAACUUUGCAAAAUAUGAUAUCAAAGAAUAUUAUUUGUUCAAAUGAUAAUGUUCCAAAAUGACAAAAAUAAAUUUUAUAAGAAAAUUUUGUAAUUCUAAACCCUUCUUUCUUUUGGACUAGGUUUCAAAUUUUGAAAUGUGAAAAUUCGAAAGUGGAGUUAAUUUUAAAAGAAAAUGUCCUAAAAUUACAAAAACAACUCUUUGAUUUGAAUCAUGGCAUGAGUAAAUUUUAUGACCACAAAACAAUUUUUCUUUUUUGAACAUAAAAUUUCUAAAUUUCAAAACAUGUUAUUUCAAAAGAAGAGUUUAGUUAUUAAAAAGAAUAAUACUUUAAUUUUCAAAACAAAAAAUGAAGGUCACAAAACUUUAUGGUUUGAAAACUUUUUUUGAAAUUUUAAACCUUUUUGAAUUUCGAAACUUUAAAUCAAGUUUAGUUAUUGAAACAAAAACAUCCAUAAACCACAAAAGGUGCUAUUUUAUGAAUAUGGCCCACAUAAAUUUUUUACAACUAGGAAAGCAUUUUCUGAGUUUGCAAAUUGUUUCCAAUUGGACCAUAUAUGUUAAAACGAGAAUGUCCCUACAUCACAAACAUAUUUCUUUUAGUCAGCAUAAAAAUAUUUUUUCAACAAUUUCAAAAGUUGAGUUUAGUUUUCAAAAGAAGAAUGAUCAUAGAUUAAAAAAAUAUUAGUUGAUACAAAAUCAUGACACAGAAAACCUUUGUGAUUCCAGAAGAGGAGCUUGUUAAAAUGAGAACAUUCCAAAACAGCAAAACCUCAUUUUUGAAAUAAAAUGGGAUGAGAAAUCUUUAUAAUUGAAAUGUCCAAUUUCAAAAUGGAGUUAGUUUGCAAAAGGAGUGUUUUCUAAUUACAAAAACACCUUUUCAAUACAAAUCAUAACGUGACACCUAUAAGUGUGAAAACUUUUUUCGAACUUAAAAUUUUUAAAUAUCAAAACAUGACAAAACUAUGAGGAAAGUUUGGCUGUCAAAAGGAGAAUGCUCAAAUUUUUUAAAUAAAAAAUGAAGGUCAGAAAAUUUUUUCUAAUUAGAAACUUGAUUCAAACAAAAUUUUUGAAUCUUAAUACAUAUGGCUGUUUAAGGAACUUAGUCAAUGCAAGGAAACAUCUAUAACUAUGAUACUAUUUUCAAAACUCAACAUUUUUUAAUUUUGCAAAUUAUAAUUCCAAAGAAGUAUUUUAUUCGUCAAAAUAAAAAUGUUCCUAUUUUGAAUUUCCCAGCCCAAUAUCACAAUUAUGAAAUUUAGCUUUUAAAAGGAGAAUGUUCACGCAUUACAAAAACACAUUUUGAUAUAAAUCAUAACAUGGGAAAACCUAAUGAUUACAAAGCCUUCUUUUGAACUGGAAAAUUGUUGACUCUUAAAACAAGCAAUUUGUAAACAGGUGCUUAGUUGUUAAAAGAUGAAACAGAAAAAUAAAGGUCAAAUAACUUUAUUGUUACAAAACAUUCUUUUGAACCUACAUUGUUUAAAUUCCAAAGUUCCAAUAUUAUAGAUGCAGUUUGCUAGCUAUAACAAUAAAUGAAUGCCUUUCUGAAGUAUCAUUUUAAUGUCAAAGGACAUUGUAACAAUAAUGCGCCAUGAGUCAAAAAUCUAAUAAAGAAACAGGAAUUUGUGAAGUAUACAUGCAAACAGUGAUUUUGGAGAAGUACGCAACAAAUCAUAUUGACUGGGUAUAUAUGCAACCAAAAAACCAAAAAUAAAGGUCAAAAAACUUUAUAAUUCGAAAACCUCAUUUCAAACUAUUUUUUUUUUAUUUUGGAACUUAAUUUUCAGAAGUGUAAAAUAGUUGUUGAGAUGAGAAUAUUAAUAAACCAUAAAAGAUCCAUUUUAUGAUAAAAUUUUGUCAAUGUCAGUAAAUCUUUAUAACCACAAAACUAUUUUCCAACUUCAAAAUGUUCCAAAAUCAAAAGUUUUUCCAAACUUUGCAAAAUAUGAUUUCAAAGAAGAUUAUUUGUUCAAAUGAUAAUGUUCCAAAAUGAUAAAAAAAUAUUUUUUAUGAGAAAAUUUAGUAAUUCUAAACCCUUCUUUUGGACUAAGUUUCAAAUUUUAAAAUGUCAAAAUUGAAAAAUGGUGUUAAUUUUUGAAAAAAUGUCCAAAAACUACUUUUUGAUUCCAAUCAUGGUAUGAGUAAAUUUAUAACCUCAAAACAUUUUUUUUUAACAUAAAAUUUCAAAACACAUUAUUUCAAAAGAAGAGCUUAGUUAUUAAAAAGAAUGAUGCUUUAAUUUUCAAAACAAAAAAUGAAGGUCAGAAACUUUCAGUCGGUAGAGAAGUUGAACAAUUUAAAAUAUCUCCUUAGCGAUGUGUCCCCCCAAGAGCUCGUGAUCCCAUUCUCCACAUGUCCUUAUAUCAACUUAGUUAUAAAUCCUCCAUUCUCUAAUCCAUUGGAGAAGACUUUUCAUCCUAUUGUCAAGUCUCCAGUGUAGCAUAUGAUUUUGGUUAUUGUAGUGGAAUCCUCACCCAAGAUUUUAUCUCAUUAUUUCACUAAAAUCGCUCCAUACAAGGGGGAAAAAAGAAUCUAGCCACAAUAAUUCGCUCUUUAAUGCACCAAUUGCUAUGCCAUAUCACCAAAUCACAUCCAGACUUAGGAAAGUACCAACUGAGAUCAAAUCAUUCAGGUCAAGAGGAAGAAAAAAGCAUAUUCAUCUGCAUACUAGAAACUGAAAAACAUCCUAUCAAUCUUACAUAUCUUGUGUGGAACCAAUAACAUGGGUGUAUUAUUGACAAAUUAUCAGCAGAAAUCAACAAGCAUGGCAUCAAGAACCCCUUCUAGUAGGUUGAGUUAAUUACGAUGAGUUCACUUAAAUUACAAUAGGUAACAAUCAAGAUGAAUUGAGACAACUGAAGCAUUCUGCAGAAACUGAUAACUGAUAAAUAUGCGUAUCUAUCAUGCAUUGGAUAUAAGAAUUCCUUCUAGCAGGUUAAGUUAAAUUACAAUAGGUAAUAAUCAAGUUGCAAUUAAGAUAAUUGAAGCAUUCUGUAGAAACUGAUAACUGAUCAAUUUGAGCAUGUACGGGGCAUUGGAUAUAACACAGAUGGCAAUAGAAUAGAUUAUACCACUGUCAAAGCUCCAAAACGCUCCACACCUCCUGUCCAGGCGGUUUCUUCAGUUUCACUAUUCCACAGCGGAGGACGGAAAAAUCAAUCUUGGGGAAGACAUCACAUCUAAACAACAAUACAUGUCAGAGUUAAGGAAUUACACAUUGUAUAAUACACUUCAACAAACUUUGUGAGUAAAAGAUGGCAAAUCUAUGGCUUUCUUUACCAAGAAACAAACCCAACGACUUCUAAUCUAUUCUCUAACGUCUUUAAGAAAUAUGGAACCAUGAAAUCCACAUCCAAUUCCACGCAAAUAGAAGAUGUGAGCAAUAGAUUCAAAGAAGAUGAAAACACUUUAGGGUUCUUAAUCAUUCUAUUUAAAAAAAAAACAAGAAAUUGUUUUUCUUUUUUUACAUUAAAAAGAGUAAAGACAGAGACUAGCUAAUCUCAGAUGCAAAUCAAUGAUCAAGAAGCGAAAUAUUUUAUAUAUAAUGCUAGCGUCAUACAUAGUAAAUCAGGAAUUCUACACUGCAUACCAACUUGAACCUAAUAAUGGGAAAAAGAUGACAUACUUGUGGUUCUCUUCCCCAAAAAUUUUAAAAAACAAUAGAAAAUAAAAGAAACUCAAUGACUUCUGAACUACCCUCUAAUGUCUUUAAGAAAUAUGAAACCAACCCCCAUCCAAUUGCAUGCAAAUAGAAGAUGAGAUCAAAUAGAGUCAAAGAAGACGAAAACUCUAAGGUUAUUGAUCAUGCUAUUAAAAAAGAAAAGAAAAGAACAAAGUACCAAAACAAAGGAAUUUUCUUGACGAUUAAACAAAGAAAAGAUGAAGAUUAGCAAACAUUAUAUGCAAAUCAAUGAUCAAGAAGCAAAAACCCCUCUUAAAUUCGAAUAACACAAGAUGCUAACUAUGUGGCAGGAGGAGGGGAGAAUCGAACCCAGCCAUGGGGUCAUGAAACACAAGAAAUCAAGAAUUCAUCAGACAAUGCACGAAAAAAGCAUCAAGAAUCCAUAUCAAUGAAGAAGACCGUGAAAGAAAGAGAAGAUCGGGAGGAAAGAAAGAAAUAAACCAGAACGAAACCCUAGAUAUCUUACCAGAUUCGGUUUACAUUCCCAAGGAAGAGGGAUUAGAGGACGGCUGAUCUCGUCUCCGAUCAAAGUCGGCGGAGUAGGGAUGACGCUUUCUUCGAUCAGCAGCCCGAAUGGAAAAGAGACGACGCCUUCCGCCUUCAAAGCCAGCCACCUUAACGGAGAAGAGACCACGCCUUCUGCGUCCGCCUCCCAUCCGCUGCAGAAAAGGACGAGAAAUGCGAGGGGUAGAUUCAGUGAUCCAUUGAACGAUAACGGGAGAGGGGCUACUUAUAUGGGGCAUGGCGUUGGAGACAACGGGGGGGAGAGAGAGAGAGAGCGAGCGAGCGAAAAUAAGCCGUCCGGUUGCGUCAAAAGGACACAUAAGCCAUGGGGCCGGCCCUUUAUAAGGUGCAGAGGCGGUGUAGACGAGCGCGUAGGAUUGAGGCGAAUAUUAUCG
rnacentral:lncRNA from 1 species